GACGGACGCUGGCGGCGUGCCUAAUACAUGCAAGUAGAACGCACAGUUUAUACCGUAGCUUGCUCCACCAUAGACUGUGAGUUGCGAACGGGUGAGUAACGCGUAGGUAACCUGCCUGGUAGCGGGGGAUAACUAUUGGAAACGAUAGCUAAUACCGCAUAAUAUUAAUUAUUGCAUGAUAAUUAAUUGAAAGGUGCAAUUGCACCACUACCAGAUGGACCUGCGUUGUAUUAGCUAGUAGGUGAGGUAACGGCUCACCUAGGCGACGAUACAUAGCCGACCUGAGAGGGUGAUCGGCCACACUGGGACUGAGACACGGCCCAGACUCCUACGGGAGGCAGCAGUAGGGAAUCUUCGGCAAUGGACGAAAGUCUGACCGAGCAACGCCGCGUGAGUGAAGAAGGUUUUCGGAUCGUAAAGCUCUGUUGUAAGAGAAGAACGGGUGUGAGAGUGGAAAGUUCACACUGUGACGGUAUCUUACCAGAAAGGGACGGCUAACUACGUG
rnacentral:rRNA from 1 species